CGUCUCCUCAGGAACCUCAGAGAAAACAAUCUGAGGGAAGAAUAGAGCAUGUAGUGAAUUUUACCCACAGGCCCCCAGGAAAUGAGUUGGUUCUGUUCUGUACCAAGACCUCAACACCUCCGACCCGGGUCAGUUUUGCAGCCACUUCCUUGCCCUUCACCCCAACCAGGGCGAAACCACGGCGACUGUUUCCACAGCUGAAAUCCGGAACUCCUGCCGUGAAAACCUGAGGUAUCCGAGAAAACAGGAAACGUGCUGUCUCGAGAUUGGGCUAUGUCUGUGUGAACCUGCGUAUAAUGUGAUUUGGCUUUAUCACUUCCCAGAAGGAAGGAAAUGCGAAAGUGGAAAUCCCAGAAGACAUUUUCCCCAUGUUCACGACAGGAAAACGGCUCUUCUUAAGGAUGAGUUUAAGGCAUUUGGUACACGAAGCCUUCGAGUCAACAUUGAGAAGGGAGGGGUAGCCACAUUGGGCUAUACUUGGGGACUCUGGGGAGACUCUAAUUUGGCAGGAAACUGAAU
rnacentral:lncRNA from 1 species